rnacentral:lncRNA from 1 species
AAGACAACAGGGUAAAUAAAUUACACCAUAUUCAUGCAAGGGUAUACUUACAUAAUGAAUAAUAACUAAUAAAAACAAAAAAACAAACUACUGGUUUGUUUUUAUUAUUUAUUUGGUGGAUACAUUUCAAAAACAUUAUGUUAAAGGAAAGAAGCCAGGUAUGAAAGAGAACAUACUAUAUAAUUCUGUUUAUAUAUAUAUUUCAAGAAAAGGCAAAACUCAUCUUUACUGAUGGAAGGAGAAGUUAGAGUGGUUGCUUCCGUAGGGAUUAACUGGGAAGUGGCAUGAGGAACCUUAAGGAAUGGAAAUGUUUCAUCUUGAUCUAGGUGAUGGUUGGAUGGGUAUAUUCAUACUUAAAAAAACAACUGAACUGUACAGUUAAUAUUUGUACAUUUAUUGAAUAUUUCACCUCAAUUCUAAAACUAUAUAUAUAUAAAGGGCUAGGUGUCAUAUCUUUCCAUUAUACUUACAUAUACCUAAUAAUACCUAAUAUUAUACCUAAUAAUAGUAAUUAUAGUUGCUUACUGAUAACAACAACUAAUAACACUUAUUGAGGCCCUACUCUGUGCCAGGGAU